rnacentral:rRNA from 1 species
GACGUAGGAGGCAAGCGUUGUUCGGAAUUACUGGGCGUAAAGCGUCCGUAGGCGGAUCUGUAAGUGGAUAGUUAAAUCCCGGGGCUCAACCCCGUGGGUGCUACCCAGACUGCAGGUCUGGAGGUCGGCAGAGGGUGAUGGAAUUCCCGGUGUAGUGGUGAAAUGCGUAGAUAUCGGGAGGAACACCAGUGGCGAAGGCGACUUCCUGGCCUGUUCUUGACGCUGAGGCGCGAAAGCUAGGGGAGCAAACGGG